rnacentral:rRNA from 1 species
CUACUACGUGCAGCAGCCGCGUAAUACGUAGGGUGCGAGGCGUAAUCGGAAUUACUGGGCGUAAAGCGUGCGCAGGCGGUUUUGUAAGACAGGCGUGAAAUCCCCGGGCUCAACCUGGGAACUGCGCUUGUGACUGCAAGGCUAGAGUAUGGCAGAGGGGGGUGGAAUUUCCACGUGUAGCAGUGAAAUGCGUAGAGAUGUGGAGGAACACCAAUGGCGAAGGCAGCCCCCUGGGCCAAUACUGACGCUCAUGCACGAAAGCGUGGGUAGCAAACAGGAUUAGAUACCCUGGUAGUCCACGCCCUAAACGAUGUCAACUAGGUGUUGGGUGGGUGAAACCAUUUAGUACCGUAGCUAACGCGUGAAGUUGACCGCCUGGGGAGUACGGCCGCAAGGUUAAAACUCAAAGGAAUUGACGGGGACCCGCACAAGCGGUGGAUGAUGUGGAUUAAUUCGAUGCAACGCGAAAAACCUUACCUACCCUUGACAUGUCUGGAAUCCUGAAGAGAUUUGGGAGUGCCCGAAAGGGAACCGGAACACAGGUGCUGCAUGGCUGUCGUCAGCUCGUGUCGUGAGAUGUUGGGUUAAGUCCCGCAACGAGCGCAACCCUUGUCGUUAAUUGCCAUCAUUUAGUUGGGCACUUUAACGAGACUGCCGGUGACAAACCGGAGGAAGGUGGGGAUGACGUCAAGUCCUCAUGGCCCUUAUGGGUAGGGCUUCACACGUCAUACAAUGGUCGGUACAGAGGGUUGCCAAGCCGCGAGGUGGAGCCAAUCCCAGAAAGCCGAUCGUAGUCCGGAUCGUAGUCUGCAACUCGACUGCGUGAAGUCGGAAUCGCUAGUAAUCGCGGAUCAGCAUGUCGCGGUGAAUACGUUCCCGGGUCUCGUACACACCGCCCGUCACACCAUGGGAGCGGGUUCCGCCAGAAGUAGGUAGCCUAACCGCAAGGAGGGCGCUUACCACGGCGGGGUUCGUGACUGGGGUGAAGUCGUAACAAGGUAACCAAU